UAUCUCUGUAGAGUCUGCAUAUCAAUAAGCGGAGGAAAAGAAACUAACAAGGAUUCCCCUAGUAACGGCGAGUGAAGCGGGAAGAGCUCAAAUUUGAAAUCUUCAAGGUUUGACCUUGACGAAUUGUAGUUUAAAGAAGUGUUUUCGGUUAGAGGAGUAGUAAAAGUUCUUUGGAAUAGGACACCAUAGAGGGUGAGAAUCCCGUAUUUGACUAUUCUUUCUAGCUUUGUGAUACACUUUCAAAGAGUCGGAUUGUUUGGGAAUGCAGUCCAAAAUGGGUGGUAAAUUUCAUCUAAAGCUAAAUAUUGGCGAGAGACCGAUAGCGAACAAGUACCGUGAGGGAAAGAUGGAAAGAACUUUGAAAAGAGAGUUAAACAGUACGUGAAAUUGUCAAAAGGGAAGCGUUUGACACCAGUGUUGUUUUUCCGAAAAUCAAUUAAAAAUUGAUUCAUGCCAGGUUGUAUUGGCCUUAUCAGCUUGCAAUUUGGUUUUGGGUCUCUUUUUGAUGCACUUUUCGGUUAACAAGUCAACAUCAAUUUCCUUUGCUGUAAAAAGGUAAGAGGAAGGUGGCUUCAAUUUCGGUUGGAGUGUUUAUAGCCUUUUAUCUCUGCAGUCGGGGAGAUUGAGGUCUGCAGCGUAGAUCCUUCGGGGCUAGAUACAUUUAUGCUAAGUUAUAGCUUUUCAUAGACAACUUGUUGACUAUGUUUAGUCAUGUAGCUUACUCGUAAGUGCUAUUUUACCUACGCUUAGGAUGUUGAAGACUCUACAGAGAU
rnacentral:rRNA from 1 species